rnacentral:rRNA from 1 species
AUUGAACGCUGGCGGAAUGCUUUACACAUGCAAGUCGAACGGUAGAGGGGGCAACCCCUCGAGAGUGGCGAACGGGUGAGUAAUAUAUCGGAACGCGCCCCGUCGUGGGGGAUAACGUAGCGAAAGUUACGCUAAUACCGCAUACGAUCUAAGGAUGAAAGCGGGGGAUCGCAAGAACUCGCGCGAUUGGAGCGGCCGAUAUCAGAUUAGGUAGGUGGUUGGGUAAAGGCUCACCAAGCCAACGAUCUGUAGCUGGUCUGAGAGGACUACCAGCCACACUGGAACUGAGACACGGUCCAGACUCCUACGGGAGGCAGCAGUGGGUAAUUUUGGACAAUGGACGCAAGUCUGAUCCAGCCAUUCCGCGUGCAGGAUGAAGGCCCUCGGGUUGUAAACUGCUUUUGUACGGAACGAAAAGGUCUCUCUUAAUACGGGGGACUCAUGACGGUACCGUAAGAAUAAGCACCGGGCAACUACGUGCCAGCAGCCGCUGUAA